rnacentral:rRNA from 1 species
CCUACGGGUGGCAGCAGUGAGGAAUAUUGGUCAAUGGCCGGAAGGCUGAACCAGCCAAGCCGCGUGAAGGACGAAGGUGCCAAGCAUUGUAAACUUCUUUUGUCAAGGGACAAAAUCAGGCUCGAGAGCCUGACCGAGGGUACUUUAAGAAAAAGCAUCUGCUAACUCCGUGCCAGCAGCCGCGGUAAUACGGAGGAUGCGAGCGUUAUCCGGAUUUAUUGGGUUUAAAGGGUGCGUAGGCGGACUGUUAAGUCAGCGGUAAAAGCCCGGGGCUCAACCCCGGCGAGCCGUUGAAACUGGCGGUCUUGAGAUGUCGAGAGGUAUGCGGAAUGCGCAGUGUAGCGGUGAAAUGCUUAGAUAUUGCGCAGAACUCCGAUUGCGAAGGCAGCAUACCGGCGGCGAUUUGACGCUGAGGCACGAAAGCGUGGGUAUCGAACAGGAUUAGAUACCCCGGUAGUC